GUGAACUCCACAUACGCAUCCUUUGCUGAGGAUACGGUUAACGGAGCGAAAGCGACGUUCAACCGCAAAAGAAGCAGAGGGGGCUUAGUGGUGGGGUGACUGCGUACCUUUUGUAUAAUGGGUCAGCGACUUAUAUUCUGUAGCAAGGUUAACCGAAUAGGGGAGCCGGAGGGAAACCGAGUCUUAACCGGGCGUUAAGUUGCAGGGUAUAGACCCGAAACCCGGUGAUCUAGCCAUGGGCAGGUUGAAGGUUGGGUAACACUAACUGGAGGACCGAACCGACUAAUGUUGAAAAAUUAGCGGAUGACCUGUGGCUGGGGGUGAAAGGCCAAUCAAACCGGGAGAUAGCUGGUUCUCCCCGAAAGCUAUUUAGGUAGCGCCUCGUGAAUUCAUCUCCGGGGGUAGAGCACUGUUUCGGCUAGGGGGCCAUCCCGGCUUACCAACCCGAUGCAAACUGCGAAUACCGGAGAAUGUUAUCACGGGAGACACACGGCGGGUGCUAACGUCCGUCGUGAAGAGGGAAACAACCCAGACCGCCAGCUAAGGUCCCAAAGUCAUGGUUAAGUGGGAAACGAUGUGGGAAGGCCCAGACAGCCAGGAUGUUGGCUUAGAAGCAGCCAUCAUUUAAAGAAAGCGUAAUAGCUCACUGGUCGAGUCGGCCUGCGCGGAAGAUGUAACGGGGCUAAACCAUGCACCGAAGCUGCGGCAGCGACGCUGAUGCGUUGUUGGGUAGGGGAGCGUUCUGUAAGCCUGCGAAGGUGGCCUGUGAGGGUUGCUGGAGGUAUCAGAAGUGCGAAUGCUGACAUAAGUAACGAUAAAGCGGGUGAAAAGCCCGCUCGCCGGAAGACCAAGGGUUCCUGUCCAACGUUAAUCGGGGCAGGGUGAGUCGACCCCUAAGGCGAGGCCGAAAGGCGUAGUCGAUGGGAAACGGGUUAAUAUUCCCGUACUUGGUGUUACUGCGAAGGGGGGACGGAGAAGGCUAUGUUGGCCGGGCGACGGUUGUCCCGGUUUAAGCGUGUAGGUGUGUGUUCCAGGUAAAUCCGGUUCACUUUAACACUGAGGCGUGAUGACGAGGCAC
rnacentral:rRNA from 1 species